rnacentral:rRNA from 1 species
AGAUUGAACGCUGGCGGCAUGCCUUACACAUGCAAGUCGAACGGUAACAGCACUUCGGUGGCUGACGAGUGGCGAACGGGUGAGUAAUACAUCGGAACGUGCCCGAUCGUGGGGGAUAACGUACUCGAAAGAGUGGCUAAUACCGCAUACGAUCUACGGAUGAAAGCGGGGGAUCGCAAGACCUCGCGCGGACGGAGCGGCCGAUGGCAGAUUAGGUAGUUGGUGGGAUAAAAGCUUACCAAGCCGACGAUCUAGUAGCUGGUCUGAGAGGACGACCAGCCACACUGGGACUGGAGACGACGGCCCAGACCUCCGUACGGGACGCGAGCAGGUGGGUAAUUUGGACAAGUGGGACGAAAGCCGUAGACUCCGAGACGAACGUCGGACCCGGACGUU